rnacentral:rRNA from 1 species
GAUGAACGCUGGCGGCGUGCUUAACACAUGCAAGUCGAGCGAGAAGUUUUGAAAAGAUUCUUCGGAUGAAAUUUAAAAUGGAAAGCGGCGGACGGGUGAGUAACGCGUAGGCAACCUGCCCCAUACAAAGGGAUAGCAUUUGGAAACGAAUAUUAAUACCUUAUGAAACUUACCUAGUGCAUGCUAGGUAGGUCAAAGAUUUAUCGGUAUGGGAUGGGCCUGCGUCUGAUUAGCUAGUUGGUGAGGUAACGGCUCACCAAGGCGACGAUCAGUAGCCGACCUGAGAGGGUGAACGGCCACAUUGGAACUGAGGCACGGUCCAAACUCCUACGGGAGGCAGCAGUGGGGAAUAUUGCACAAUGGGGGAAACCCUGAUGCAGCAACGCCGCGUGAACGAUGAAGGCCUUUGGGUCGUAAAGUUCUGUUCUAGGUGAUGAAAACUGACAGUAACCUAGGAGAAAGCCCCGGCUAACUCCGUG